rnacentral:rRNA from 1 species
AUUGAACGCUGGCGGCAGGCCUAACACAUGCAAGUCGAGCGGUGGAGAGAAGCUUGCUUCUCUUGAGAGCGGCGGACGGGUGAGUAAUGCCUAGGAAUCUGCCUAGUGGUGGGGGAUAACGUUCGGAAACGGACGCUAAUACCGCAUACGUCCUACGGGAGAAAGCGGGGGAUCUUCGGACCUCGCGCCAUUAGAUGAGCCUAGGUCGGAUUAGCUAGCUGGUGAGGUAAUGGCUCACCAAGGCGACGAUCCGUAACUGGUCUGAGAGGAUGAUCAGUCACACUGAAACUGAGACACGGUCCAGACUCCUACGGGAGGCAGCAGUGGGGAAUAUUGGACAAUGGGCGAAAGCCUGAUCCAGCCAUGCCGCGUGUGUGAAGAAGGUCUUCGGAUUGUAAAGCACUUUAAGUUGGGAGGAAGUGCAGUAACCUAAUACGUUAUUGUUUUGACGUUACCGACAGAAUAAGCACCGGCUAACUUCGUGCCAGCAGCCGCAGUAACAC